GAUGAACGCUGGCGGCGUGCCUAAUACAUGCAAGUCGGACGGAGCGCUUCGGCGCUCAGUGGCGAACGGGUGAGUAGCACAUGGGCAACCUGCCCUUCAGAGGGGGACAACAGCUGGAAACGGCUGCUAAUACCGCAUGACGCAUGACCGGGGCAUCCCGGACAUGCCAAAGAUUUUAUCGCUGAAAGAUGGCCUCGCGUCUGAUUAGAUAGUUGGCGGGUAACGGCCCACCAAGUCGACGAUCAGUAGCCGGACUGAGAGGUUGACCGGCCACAUUGGGACUGAGACACGGCCCAG
rnacentral:rRNA from 1 species